CGCUGCCGUACAGUCCUCCGAGGCCGGGCUCGUGCGGCUCCCAAGCCUCGCGCACCUGCGUUCCGCCUGUUUCCCGGAGUCGCAGGCCAGGAAGCCGCUGUCGGGGGCGGGGGUCUUUACUCCCGAUUUUAUUUUUUAAAGUAAUCUCUACAUCCAAUGUGGGGAUUGAACUCAUAACCCUGAGAUCAGGAGUUGCAUGCUCUACCAAUUGAGCCAGCUGGGUGCCCUCAAUGCACAUGGUUUCGAAAGGAAUUUGAAAACGUCUAUCAAUAUUUUAAAUUCACAUACCCUUUGACUAUCAAUGCAACACCAGGACAUCAUCAAAUGGAUACAUUUAUAGAGAGAGCGCGCACACGAGCACACAAGCAGGAUGAGUGGCAGAGGGAGAGGGAGAAGCACACUCCCUGCUGAGCAUAAAGCCCAACUCCGGCUCCAUCCAGGACCCUGGGAUCAUGACCUGAGGCAAAGGCAGAUACUUAACCUACUGAGCCACCCAGGCACCCUGAUCAAUCUAUAAUCUUAACUGUUAUUUUAUAUUGUAUUCUCCUG